UACUGGAAACCAGGCUGCCACCACUUCAAGACCAAAGGCACUGCCAUGCUGGAGAGGGGGUGGAGCAAGGACAGUGAACAAAAUAGAUAAAAAUCCCAGUGACUUUACAUUCUAGUGGUGAUCAGGAGAAGACUGAGAAGGUGACAUUGAGCACAGACGUGAAAGCUACCCGCCAGUCUCCCAUCGUCCAGAUUUCUCAGAUGUCAGACACAGUCUGCACUGUCCUUCAGGUUCUAGGAGACUCUAUGGAGGAGCAAUGGGCCAAGAACUCAUUGCAUUUCUAAAAAGAAAAGGCUUGCGCCUGCAGCUCUCCUGGGCUAGAAGUUGAAUUGAAGCUGCAGCUGCAGGCCUUCGCCACAGCCACAGCAACAUCAGAUCCUAGCUGCAUUUGUGACCCAUGCUGCACCUUGUGACAACGCCUGAUCCUUAACCCACUGAGUGAGGCCAGGGAUCGAACUCACAUCCUCAUGGAUACUAGUUGGGCUCUUAACCCACUUAAUCACAAUGGGAACUCCUUUUUUUUUUUUUUUUCUUAAAUCUUUAUGAUUUUCUGCACACUUUCGUCUAACAUGCAGAAAGGCUGUCAAAAGAAUUGCAUUCCUCAGCCCAAAGGGUGUUAAUAGCCAUUAUCUUCUUUCUGAGCUUUUAUCAGGAACUUCUGCUUGGCAAUUCAAGCUGUGAGAACGUUUGCCAGAGAUUUCUCAGGAGCAGGCUUAACUCUUCCUACUGUAGCAGAAUUAAUCUCUUUAGCAGUUCUCACUUUUCCUGGAGUCUGGGGCCUUUCUCAAGCUGGGUCCACUCUGUCCCCGGUAGCUGGUGCUCUGCUCUUCUGAUCUGGUGCCUGCUUCGUGGCGGAGCCCAGGGGGGAUGGAAUGUUUCUGUUUGACAGUUUGCCAGCAGCAAAAGAAUGAGCUUUCCUUGAGAAUUUCCAUUCGUGGGCUCUGAACCAAGUCCAGGGAACUAUCUACCACGAGAUCCUGGUGGUGUUGCAGCCUGGGGAGAUAGGAACAUGUACAGAGAGCUAUUUUUCUGGUCCUACCUGCUGACCGAGUCACCAUCACAUUAGGCACAAUUAAGCUGUUUCUUUUGAUAAAAUUUCCCUCCUUGCCAUGUCCAUAGAGGCUCGUCUGUGAAUUACUUUUGAUCUUGGAAGAUUUUGUUUUUUAGAUUUUUUUUUUUAGGCUAUGUCUGCCUUGUUUAUAAUAAGUAGGACAUCUUCCUAUUAGAAGUAAGUGUUCAUCUGUACCCUCUAUGAAGGCAUGGGACUAAAAAGGGGUUCAUUGGAGUUCCUGGCCUGGCGCUGUGGAAAUGAAUCCGACUAGGAACCAUGAGGUUGCCGGUUCGAUCCCUGGCCUCGCUCAUUGGGUUAAGGAUCUGGUAUUGCCGUGACCUGUGGUGUUGGUCGCAGACUCGGCUCUGAUCUGGCAGUGCUGUGGCUGUGACGUAAGCUGGCAGCUGUACCUCGGGUUGGACCCCUAGCCUGGGAACCUCCAUAUGCCACAGGUGUGGCCCUAAAAUAAAUAAGUAAAUAAAUAAAUAAAAAA
rnacentral:lncRNA from 1 species